UACGUAGGGUGCAAGCGUUAUCCGGAAUCAUUGGGCGUAAAGAGUUCGUAGGUGGUUUGGAAAGUUUGUAGUUAAAUCUGGUCGCUCAACGAUCAACUCGCUACAAAAACUCCCAAGCUAGAGAUUGGCAGAGGCAACUGGAAUUCCACAUGUAGGGGUAAAAUCCGUUGAUAUGUGGAGGAACACCAAAAGCGAAGGCAGGUUGCUGGGCCAUUUCUGACACUGAGGAACGAAAGCGUGGGGAGCAAAC
rnacentral:rRNA from 1 species